CGACUUUGCGUUCGUGUCGGAGUUGGGGGGGGGGGGGGGGGUCCUGACGUUUUAUCUUCCAGAAUCCCUCGCGUCUCCUGCGUCCUCGCGACGCCGUCAAAGAGGGGGAAGAGAGAUCAUCGGUGGAUCCAGGCAGUCACAAGAUCCCCAAGUUCGAUUUACACAGACGUCUCUCUCGGUUCGAACUCCACGCAAACCCUCUCGUGCGUCCCGUGAAGGAAGUUCAGAUGUCUGGGGCAUCAUCGGGGAAAUCUCAGACAGCGGACCUCCUGGUAACACCGCCAACACCUUUUUGGCCGUGCGUUUGAAUUUGCCUUGCUGCUACUACUACAGGGUUUGUUUGUAUCGGGGAGGGGGGAGGGGCUCCUAACGUUCUAUGUUACAGGACCCCAGCAGUUGUGCUUAGCGCAGACGUCUCGUUCAACUCCACGCAACUUCCUCAGUGCAACUCCACGUAACCUCGGUGCUACUCAACGCAACUUUGAUGCAACUCCCAACAGCAUCCAUCAGGGAGUGUCAAUGUCUCUUGCUACCCACAGCAGCAGAAAAACAUUAUAACUAUGAACUGGUCAUGAGCAGUGCUGCUAGGUAGCCACGAGUGUGAACACGGAGGUUGUGUUUAUCGUUGUCAAGGCUCGGCAGGUGGUGGUGGUGGUGAAUGUGAAACGCAAGCUGUCGCACAGAGCAAGCAGCCGCACUGCUGUACAACACCAACCCAGCCCUGGGUGGAAGGGGGGAGAAGCCGUACGGCCAUUACCAUCCACCAGGGAGUGUCAAUGACUCUUGUCCUUCCCGCACAGCAACUUUAUUUAUCAAUGGCAAUGAGCCUUGGCUGUGUAGCCCACACGUGGACAUACGGAGGUUGUGUUUAUCAUUGUCAAGGCUGAGCGGAUGAUGGCGGUGGUGGCGAUGGGCGGAAUGGGAGAUGCGCAACCCCCUGCAGCUGUUACAACCCAGUCCUGGACAGGAGGGGCCAGAGACAACCAACAGCGUCCAUCAGGGAGUGUCAAUGUCUCUCGCUACCCACAGCAGCAGCAGCAUUAUUUAUGAUCAAUGGCAAUGAGCCGUGCUCUGUAGCCACGCGUGAGCAUCAUGGAGGUUGUGUUUUAUUAUUGUCAAGGCUGAGCGGAUGGUGGUGGUGAUGGGGAAUCAGACACGCUGGCAUCCGUUCCUGCCACCCCCAACUUUGAGAGAGAUGUCUGGGCGAGUUCUCAACCCAGGUAACCGUGCGAGUCUCCGGCCCGAUCCUCGGCCUUACCAAACGAGCGAUGUGGAUGUUUUACUUGAGGUUAAACGCCGUUGCCAUUGGCAUUAUCAACGACUACUUCAGGCUUUGCGUUCGUAUGGGAGUUGGGGGGGGGGGGGGGGUCCUGACGUUUUAUCUUCCAGAAUCCCUCGUGUCUCCUGCGUCCUCGCGACGCCGGCAAAGAGCGGGAAGAGAGAUCAUCGGUGAAUCCAGGCAGUCGCAAGAUCCCCAAGUCCCAUUUACACAGACGUCUCUCUCGGUUUGAACUCUGGGACAUUCGUCGGGAAAACCCAGACAGCGGAUUUCCUGGUAACACCGCAACUCCUUUGGCCGUGCGUUGGAGUUUGUCUUGCUGCUACUUACUACAGGAUUUGUAGUUACCUCGAUGCAACUCUACGUAACCUCAGAACAUCGGAGGGGAAAAACCCCUAUUAUGUUUUGCUUUUCGUAAUCGGCCACGCGGGGAAAAGUUGUCAGGCAGGACUUUGUGAAAGUUUUAAACGAGGCAAAACUUGACACUUUUAUUAGCAAAUGACCACAGCGUCAAGUUUACGAAAUGUGACCUGAAGAUUUAAAUCGGUGUUUUCUUACGGCCGUCCUGAAUAUUUCCCUAAGCCAGCAAAGGGCGUUGAUGGUGACAUUGCUAGCAAGCAGUGUGCAGUGUUGGCCCUUGUGGAUCUGGGGUGGGGGAGGGGGGAGGGGCUCCUAACGUUCUAUGUUACAGGACCCCAGCAGUUGUGCCUAGCGCAGACGUCUCGUUCAACUCCACGCAACUUCCUCAGUGCAACUCCACACAACCUCGCUGCAACUCUACGUAACCUCAGAACGCCUUCACGCAACCUUGCUCCAACUCCUCGCAACUCCAGUGCAACUCCACGCGUUCUCUGUGCAACUCCCAAGCAACCUCGCGACAUCGUACAAGGGGGGAGAGCAACAGGGAAGGAAGCGCAAAUUGCUCCUCUGUCAUCGGCCAUUCCAGGCGGUUAACGGGACCCGGUAACACCGUCAACACUUUGACGUUCACAUUUGCCUCGCUGCUACUGCUGCUACAGGCCUUGUGUUUGUGUCAGGGGGAGUGGGGGGGGGGUCUCUAACGUUCUGUCUUCCAGAAUCCUCUCCCCGGUCUACUCUCGCUCAAACGUCAAACAUCUCGGUACAGCUCCAAACCAAGGAAGCCCCAACGGGGCAGAGAUCCCAGGCAGUGACGGGACAGGGAGCCAGGUCUGCGUCUCUGUCUCGGUUCAACUCCACGCGGCUUCGUGUUGCGCAAGCGGAGUGGAGGGCGUGCAGAUGUCUGGGGCGUCGUCGGGAGAAUCCAGGCCGCUAACGGGACACCUGGUAAAGUUAAAACGCCGUUGCCAUUCAAGUUAUCAACGACUACUUCAGGCUUUGCGUUCGUAUCGGAGUUGGGGGUGGGGGGGGAGUCCUGACGUUUUAUCUUCCAGAAUCCCUCGCGUCUCGUGCGUCCUCGCGACGCCGGCAAAGAGCGGGAAGAGAGAUCAUCGGUGAAUCCAGGCAGUCGCAAGAUCCCCAUGUCCCAUUUGCACAGACGUCUCUCUCGGUUCCAACUCCACGCAAACCCUCUCGUGCGUCCCGUGAAGGUGUCUGGGCUUCGUCGCGGAGAAUUCGGGCCGGUUUCCGUGGCACCUGGUAAACACCACAAAUCUUCUCUGCCCAAAUAUAGCGCUUUUUUAAAUCCUUUAUAUUAAGUUCACUUGCUUGCGCGCUUACGACCGUGCAAAUCUUUCGGUCGUUUUUUAACCCACUUCCCGUGAUCCAAUCGGGCUGACAUUUUGCACACAGACUCGUUGUGCGUGACAAUUUAUUUUCGUGAAAAAAAUUUCCGGAACUUUCCACUUUAUAGGAAAUGUAUUUUUUAUUAUAUUUAAUUACCAAUUGCUUAAUGGUGGCAGGCAAUCAUCUGACCCAUAGGUGGCAGCCAUCUCAAGCCAGCGGACGAGAGGACUCUAGCCGCCACGCAUAUAAAGGAUUUAUAGUGAAAAACUUUGUUUUUACGGGUUAAUUUUUAACACGUGAGUUUUUGUUAUUUUAUUUGUGUUCGUAUGUCGGGAGUUGACGGGGCGGGGAAGGGGGGGUGGGUGUUGUGUUAACGCCGUGUCUUGCAGACUCGCGUCUCCUGCGUGCUCACAGCAAGAACUGCAACGGGGUGGGGGGAAGAGCGAGAGAGUUGACAGAGUUGAUGGGCGAAUCCAGGCGGUUACAGGAGCCCAGGUCUCUUUUCACGCACGCAAACCCUCUCGUGUCUCCAUCGUUGCCUUGUGGAUGAUUGUAGUGGUGGAGGUGAUUGUGGUGGUGGUGAUAACCAGGGGGUGGUGAGUGGCUUGCCUCUGUAGGAGGCCGUGGCAUCGUUUAACAAGUAGCAGCAGCAGCAGCAGGGGGCUUUUUGCAACCACUCUACAUAAGAUGUUGGUUUUGUGCUAGAACUAGUGACGAAUUGGCACGUCUUGUUCACGCGACAAACCUUACCCAAUUGGCCGUGUCGGGUGGUGGCGGGUUUCAACGACACAUUUAAUAUAUUCACGAGAUCCAACCCAACAACAACAACAACUCUGUUACGUCUUCUUGGUUGUUUCGGUAAAGUCAUCACGUAGAAUGGAAAUAAUAAAAAUAAAACAUAAAAUAAUUCUCACGACAUUUCGGCCACAACGCAAGCAGCCGUCCUCAGGUGGAGAACAGGUCUGUCGAGAAGACAGUCUGAAUGCGUUGUGGCCGAAACGUCGUGAAUUAAUUAAUUGUAUUAUUAUUAUUUUAUUAUUCCUCUUCUACGUGAUGACUUUACCGAAAGAACCAAGAAGAUGAAUCCCUGCUGCAGUCACGAAAUCUUUAAAUCGAAAUUUAACUCUUGUUACGCUUUUACAAACGUUGCGUUGCCACAGAAUUAGCGUUCUCACGUCGUGAGUUGGGGCCGGGUAGGAGGAAGGGGGGUGGGGAGGGUUGCUGUGUUCACGCCGUGUCUUGCAGACUCCCUCGCGUCUCCUGCGUGCUCGCGGCAGCAGCAGCAGCAGCAGAGAGGGAUCGUCGGUGAACCCAGGCGGUGGCAGGAGCACCACCAAGUUUGAUUCACACGGACGGCGCUCUCGCUUGGAACUGCGCGCAAACCCUCGUGCGUGUGAGUGUGUGUGUCCGUCGUGCGCCGAUGUCUGGGCGUUGUCGUCGGAGAAUCCAGGCCGCUGUCUGGGGCACCUGGUGACUACGGAAUAAAUCCUCUGGCACGAAUCCAUUGCCUUUACAAACGUCGCCGUUUUUCUACGGAAUUUGUGUUCGUGUGUCGUGAGUCAGAGGUGCGGGACUGGGGGGGGGGGGGGUGUUAACGCCGUGUCUUGCAGACUCCCUCGUAUCUCGGCUUGCUCACAUCAACAGCGGCAAAGAGAGAGAUCAUCGGUGAAUCGAGGCGGUUACAGGAGCCCAAGUCUGUCUCACGCAGAUGUCUCUUGGGUUCGAACCCCAACGGGGCAGAGAUCCCAGGCAGUGAUGGGACACCUGGUAAAGUUAAAACGCCGUUGCCAUUGGCAUCGUCAACGACUACUUCAGGCUUUGCGUUCGUAUCGGAGUUGGGGGGGGGGGGGGGUCCUGACGUUUUAUCUUCCAGAAUCCCUCACGUCUCGUGCGUCCUCGCGACGCCGGCAAAGAGCGGGAAGAGAGAUCAUCGGUGAAUCCAGGCAGUCACAAGAUCCCCAAGUCCCAUUUACACAGACGUCUCUCUCGGUUCGAACUCCACGCAAACCCUCUCGUGCGUCCCGUGAAGGAAGUGGGAAUAUCAGGGCUUCGUCGGGAGAAUCCAGGCAGUUUCCAUGGAACCUGGUAACAGCGCAACUCUUUUGCCACCUGUUCAAGUUUGUUUUCACUACAGACGUUGCUUCUGCACUCAAAUUUCUGCUGGGGGUGGGUUGGGGGGGUGGGUGUCCUAACGGUUUAUCUUCCAGAAUCCUCUCCCUGGUCUACUCUCGCUCAAACAUCUCGGUACAGCUCCAACGAAAGGAAGCACCAACGGGGCAGAGAUCCCAGGCAGUGACGGGACAGGGAGCCAGGUCUGCGUCUUGAUGUCUCGGUUCAACUCCACGCGGCUUCGUGUUGUGCAAGCGGAGUGGAGGGCGUGCAGAUGUCUGGGGCGUCGUCGUGAGAACCCAGGCAGUGAACGCACCUCCUGGUAACAGCGCAGCUCCUGUGCCACCCGUCGCUUUCAAGAUUGUUGACUGGGAGUUGGGGCAGGGGGGGUUCCUCUAACGCUGCAACCUGCAGACUCCUCCACCCCGUCUACUCGCGCUCAAACUUGAGGAGGAGGAGGAGGCCCAAGGUCUGCGUCAGUCGGCGGCGAUUCCAGGCGGUUGUACCGGCACCUGGUAACACCACAAAUACUUUGGCGUCUGUUUGAAUUUGCCUCGCUACUACCGGAGUUGUGUUUGUAUCGGGGGAGUAGGUGGGGGGGUUCUCUAAUGUUCUGUCUUCCAGAAUCCUCUCCCUGGUCUACUCUCGCUCAAACGUCAAACAUCUCGGUACAGCUCCAAACCAAGGAAGCCCCAACGGGGCAGAGACCCCAGGCAGUGAUGGGACAGGGAGCCAGGUCUGCGUCUCGAUGUCUCGGUUCAACUGCAGAGGCAGGAAGUGCAAACGGUCGAAUCGGCGGUGGAUACGGGCAGUUAGCGGACCUCCUGGUAACACCGCAACUCCUUUGGCCGUGCGUUUGAAUUUGCCUUGCUGCUACUACUACAGGAUUUGUUUGUAUUGGGGGGGGGGGGGGUCUCUAACGUUCUGUCUUCCAGAAUCUUUCCUCGUGUCUACUCUGAAACAUCUCGGUACAGCUCCAAAGAAAGGAAGCCCCAACGGGGCAAAGACCGCCUGUCAAAAGGUUCUGUUCGCUGCUCGUGAAACGUUUAAAAAUGGAGGAUGAAUUUGCGGAGAUUUUUUUUUUAAUUGCUGGGAUGAAAUGUCUCUAUGAAACAAACUCUAUCAUCCCGAGUCAUCGCGGCCACUUCACGUCAGUUUGGCAACGUCAAAACCCCGGCACGCGUGAAGUCUGGAAGGCUUCGGGGAAAUUAACGAUUGGACAAUGAACGCUCGACAAAUUGUGGAGGAAUUUGAAGUGAAAUUUUCCAAACUCGACUUGCUUCCUCAAGUGCUUCUUGAAGGGAGGCAGCCCCCCCUCUUGGGGAAAGAUUUAACAAUUGACUUUUUUACGAACGUGGAAAUUGCGCACCGCUUAAGAGACUUGGAGGGGGCAAGGCUGGGGGAGCAUUGCAAAGCGACCAACAGCAACUCUUGUCGGCCUGAUCUUUUGCGCAGAUUGCCCGAGGGGAAGUGGGCAUUGUCCAGGAGACGUGUGAAGCAGAGGGUCGGGGACGCAGAUGCACCGGGCUCGCUCGCACAGGCGGUUCCUUGCCGGCGUGAAAUCAAUCGUCGGGUCACAAAUAUCACACUCAGUAACCCGUCGCAACGCUGCUACUGUCACAGCUCCACUGUCACCGCCUGCCACUGCUCUGCCACCGUCACCGCCCUCUGCUGCCCAGCCACGAUCACCGCUCUCCACUGCCCAGCCACCAUCACUGCCCAGCCAUGAUCACCGCUCUCCACUGCCCAGCCACCAUCACUGCCCAGCCACCAUCACCGCCUCUGCACUGCCCAGCCACCGUCACCGCCUCUGCACUGCCCAGCCACCAUCACCGCCUCUGCACUGCCCAGCCACCGUCACCGCCUCUGCACUGCCCAGCCAUCAUCACCGCCUCUGCACUGCCCAGCCAUCAUCACCGCCUCUGCACUGCCCAGCCACCAUCACCGCCUCUGCACUGCCCAGCCACCGUCACCGCCUCUGCACUGCCCAGCCACCAUCACCGCCUCUGCACUGCCCAGCCACCAUCACCGCCUCUGCACUGCUACUGAAUCGGCCACCGUCACUGCCCUCUGCUGCCCAGCCACACGAAGCUCACACAGCUGCUCCGUCUGCCCUGCACCCUCCUCCCCCGUGUGCGCGUUUUGUAGCCGCUCGCUGGCUGCUGGCGUUCUAUACCAAGCUCCACCGACCGGCCAUCGUCCUAUGUGUGGGUGGCGCAGGCUGUGCGGUAAAGCAAUCGUCCCACUCCUCCCACAUGCAAUUUUACCCCACGUGGUGCAAAGUGCUGUGUGCAUGGAAGAAGGCAUUGGGUGGGCGGGGGGGUUGUCCUUAACCAAAUGUCUUCCAGAAGUUUCUCCCCCCCCCCCCCAUCUCUUUCCCGCUGAGCAGAGCUUGCGUCUCCGUAGCCCAGGCGGUGAGACGUCUCGUGCCUCGUGGUCUGGGUAAACCAAAGGUCUCCCCCCACACACCCGUUUACGAAUCUGUCCGUUGCUGUGGCUUGCCAGAAAUCUUGAGGGGGGGUGGGGGGGGCCUUUCACGUUCUCUGUUACAGAACCUAGUCAAACGUCCAGCCCUACCUACCUACCCUGUACAACAAGCCCAGCCCUGCAGAAGGGGAAGAAGAGACACCACAGCAAGCCCCAUGACACCGCCACAACCAGGGAGUGCCCUUUGACUCGCCUCACUCUGCAUGCGUUAUUCUCAAUGGGUCAUGAGUUGGCUUCGCCAGCCAGGUGUGAACGUUGAGCUGUGUUUAUCGUUGUCAAGGCUGAGCGGGUGAUGGUGGCGAUGGGUGGAGAAUGUGAGGAACUCAACCCCCGACUGCUGUACAAAUCGGCACAAAGUAAACCAGCCGUGGAAGGAGCGGGGCGAGAGUCUUUGCCACCACCAGGGAGUGUCCUUAACUCUUCGUGCUUCACAGCCACACGGCAACAUUUAUAAUUGUUUAUCAAUGGUGAUGGGCCUUGGCUCUUUAGCCCACGAGUGUGAACACGGAGGUUGUGUUUAUCGUUGUCAAGGCUCAGCAGGUGGUGGUGGUGGUGAAUGUGAAACGCAAGCUGACGCACAGAGCAAGCAGCCGCACUGCUGUACAACACCAACCCAGCCCUGGGUGGCAGGGGGGAGAAGCCGUACGGCCAUUACCAUCCACCAGGGAGUGUCAAUGACUCUUGUCCUUCCCGCACAGCAACUUUAUUUAUCAAUGGCAAUGAGCCUUGGCUGUGUAGCCCACACGUGGACAUACGGAGGUUGUGUUUAUCGUUGUCAAGGCUGAGCGGAUGAUGGUGGUGGUGAUGGUGAAUCGCUGGCAUCCGUUCCUGCCACCCCCAACUUUUGAGAGAGAUGUCUGGGCGAGUUCUCAACCCAGGUAACCGUGUGAGUCUCCGGCCCGAUCCUCGGCCUUGCUCGCCAAACGAGCGACGUGGAUGUUUUACUUGAGGUUAAACGCCGUUGCCAUUGGCAUUAUCAACGACUACUUCAGGCUUUGCGUUCGUGUUGGGGGGGGGGGGGGGGGGGCCUGACGUUUUAUCUUCCAGAAUCCCUCGCGUCUCCUGCGUCCUCACGACGCCGGCAAAGAGCGGGAAGAGAGAUCAUCGGUGGAUCCAGGCAGUCGCAAGAUCCCCAAGUCCCAUUUACACAGACGUCUCUCUCGGUUCCAACUCCACGCAAACCCUCUCGUGCGUCCCGUGAAGGAAGUUCAGAUCUCUGGGGCAUCAUCGGGGAAAUCUCAGACAGCGGACCUCCUGGUAACACCGCCAACACCUUUUUGGCCGUGCGUUUGAAUUUGCCUUGCUGCUGCUACUACAGGAUUUGUUUGUAUCGGGGAGGGGGGGAGGGGGGAGGGGCUCCUAACGUUCUAUGUUACAGGACCCCAGCAGUUGUGCCUCGCGCAGACGUCUCGUUCAACUCCACGCAACUUCCUCAGUGCAACUCCACACAACCUCGCUGCAACUCCAGGCAACUCGGUUCAACUCCACGUAACCUCAGAACAUUUUCAUUCAACCUUGCUCCAACUCCUCACCUCCACACGUUCUCUGUCCAACUCCACGUUACCUCGCUGCAACUCUACGUAACCUCAGAACACCUUCACGCAACCUUGCUCCAACUCCUCGCAACUUCAGUGCAACUCCACGCGUUCUCUGUGCAACUCCCAAGCAACCUCGCGACAUCGUACAAGGGGGGAGAGCAACAGGGAAGGAAGCGCAAAUUGCUCCUCUGUCAUCGGCCAUUCCAGGCGGUUAACGGGACCCGGUAACACCGUCAACACUUUGACGUUCACAUUUGCCUCGCUGCUACUGCUGCUACAGGCCUUGUGUUUGUGUCAGUGGGAGUGGUGGGGAGGGGUCUCUAACGUUCUGUCUUCCAGAAUCCUCUCCCCGGUCUACUCUCGCUCAAACAUCUCUGUACAGCUCCAAACCAAGGAAGCCCCAACGGGGCAGAGACCCCAGGCAGUGACGGGACAGGGAGCCAGGUCUGCGUCUCGAUGUCUCGGUUCAACUCCACGCGGCUUCGUGUUGCGCAAGCGGAGUGGAGGGCGUGCAGAUGUCUGGGGAGUCGUCGGGAGAAUCCAGGCCGUUAACGGGACACCUGGUAAAGUUAAAACGCCGUUGCCAUUCGAAUUAUCAACGACUACUUCAGGCUUUGCGUUCGUAUCGGAGUUGGGGGGGGGGGGGUCCUGACGUUUUAUCUUCCAGAAUCCCUCGCGUCUCCUGCGUCCUCGCGACGCCGGCAAAGAGCGGGAAGAGAGAUCAACGGUGAAUCCAGGCAGUCGCAAGAUCCCCAAGUCCCAUUUACACAGACGUCUCUCUCGGUUCCAACUCCACGCAAACCCUCUCGUGCGUCCCGUGAAGGAAGUUCAGAUCUCUGGGGCAUCAUCGGGGAAAUCUCAGACAGCGGACCUCCUGGUAACACCGCCAACACCUUUUUGGCCGUGCGUUUGAAUUUGCCUUGCUGCUACUACUACAGGAUUUGUUUGUAUCGGGGAGGGGGGAGGGGCUCCUAACGUUCUAUGUUACAGGACCCCAGCAGUUGUGCCUAGCGCAGACGUCUCGUUCAACUCCACGCAACUUCCUCAGUGCAACUCCACGUAACCUCGGUGCAACUCUACGUAACCUCAGAACAAUUUCAUUCAACCUUGCUCCAACUCCUCGCAACCUCAGUGCAACUCCACGUGUUCUCUGUGCAACUCCCAAGCAACCUCGCGACAUCGUACAAGGGGGGAGAGCAACAGGGAAGGAAGCGCAAAUUGCUCCUCUGUCAUCGGCCAUUCCAGGCGGUUAACGGGACCCGGUAACACCGUCAACACUUUGACGUUCACAUUUGCCUCGCUGCUACUGCUGCUACAGGCCUUGUGUUUGUGGGGGGGGGGUGUCUCACGUUCUGUCUUCCAGAAUCCUCUCCCCGGUCUACUCUCGCUCAAACGUCAAACAUCUCGGUACAGCUCCAACGAAAGGAAGCCCCAACGGGGCAGAGAUCCCAGGCAGUGACGGGACAGGGAGCCAGGUCUGCGUCUCGAUGUCUCGGUUCAACUCCACGCGGCUUCGUGUUGCGCAAGCGGAGUGGAGGGCGUGCAGAUGUCUGGGGCGUCGUCGGGAGAAUCCAGGCCGUUAACGGGACACCUGGUAAAGUUAAAACGCCGUUGCCAUUGGCAUUAUCAACGACUACUUCAGGCUUUGCGUUCGUUGGGGGGGGGGGGGGGGGUCCUGACGUUUUAUCUUCCAGAAUCCCUCGCGUCUCCUGCGUCCUCACGACGCCGGCAAAGAGCGGGAAGAGAGAUCAUCGGUGGAUCCAGGCAGUCGCAAGAUCCCCAAGUCCCAUUUACACAGACGUCUCUCUCGGUUCCAACUCCACGCAAACUCUCUCGUGCGUCCCGUUAAGGAAGUUCAGAUGUCUGGGGCAUCAUCGGGGAAAUCUCAGACAGCGGACCUCCUGGUAACACCGCCAACACCUUUUUGGCCGUGCGUUUGAAUUUGCCUUGCUGCUGCUACUACAGGAUUUGUUUGUAUCGGGGAGGGGGGGAGGGGGGAGGGGCUCCUAACGUUCUAUGUUACAGGACCCCAGCAGUUGUGCCUCGCGCAGACGUCUCGUUCAACUCCACGCAACUUCCUCAGUGCAACUCCACACAACCUCGCUGCAACUCCAGGCAACUCGGUUCAACUCCACGUAACCUCAGAACAUUUUCAUUCAACCUUGCUCCAACUCCUCACCUCCACACGUUCUCUGUCCAACUCCACGUUACCUCGCUGCAACUCUACGUAACCUCAGAACACCUUCACGCAACCUUGCUCCAACUCCUCGCAACUUCAGUGCAACUCCACGCGUUCUCUGUGCAACUCCCAAGCAACCUCGCGACAUCGUACAAGGGGGGAGAGCAACAGGGAAGGAAGCGCAAAUUGCUCCUCUGUCAUCGGCCAUUCCAGGCGGUUAACGGGACCCGGUAACACCGUCAACACUUUGACGUUCACAUUUGCCUCGCUGCUACUGCUGCUACAGGCCUUGUGUUUGUGUCAGUGGGAGUGGUGGGGAGGGGUCUCUAACGUUCUGUCUUCCAGAAUCCUCUCCCCGGUCUACUCUCGCUCAAACAUCUCUGUACAGCUCCAAACCAAGGAAGCCCCAACGGGGCAGAGACCCCAGGCAGUGACGGGACAGGGAGCCAGGUCUGCGUCUCGAUGUCUCGGUUCAACUCCACGCGGCUUCGUGUUGCGCAAGCGGAGUGGAGGGCGUGCAGAUGUCUGGGGCGUCGUCGGGAGAAUCCAGGCCGUUAACGGGACACCUGGUAAAGUUAAAACGCCGUUGCCAUUCGAAUUAUCAACGACUACUUCAGGCUUUGCGUUCGUAUCGGAGUUGGGGGGGGGGGGGUCCUGACGUUUUAUCUUCCAGAAUCCCUCGCGUCUCCUGCGUCCUCGCGACGCCGGCAAAGAGCGGGAAGAGAGAUCAACGGUGAAUCCAGGCAGUCGCAAGAUCCCCAAGUCCCAUUUACACAGACGUCUCUCUCGGUUCCAACUCCACGCAAACCCUCUCGUGCGUCCCGUGAAGGAAGUUCAGAUCUCUGGGGCAUCAUCGGGGAAAUCUCAGACAGCGGACCUCCUGGUAACACCGCCAACACCUUUUUGGCCGUGCGUUUGAAUUUGCCUUGCUGCUACUACUACAGGAUUUGUUUGUAUCGGGUAGGGGGGAGGGGCUCCUAACGUUCUAUGUUACAGGACCCCAGCAGUUGUGCCUAGCGCAGACGUCUCGUUCAACUCCACGCAACUUCCUCAGUGCAACUCCACGUAACCUCGGUGCAACUCUACGUAACCUCAGAACAAUUUCAUUCAACCUUGCUCCAACUCCUCGCAACCUCAGUGCAACUCCACGUGUUCUCUGUGCAACUCCCAAGCAACCUCGCGACAUCGUACAAGGGGGGAGAGCAACAGGGAAGGAAGCGCAAAUUGCUCCUCUGUCAUCGGCCAUUCCAGGCGGUUAACGGGACCCGGUAACACCGUCAACACUUUGACGUUCACAUUUGCCUCGCUGCUACUGCUGCUACAGGCCUUGUGUUUGUGGGGGGGGGGUGUCUCACGUUCUGUCUUCCAGAAUCCUCUCCCCGGUCUACUCUCGCUCAAACGUCAAACAUCUCGGUACAGCUCCAACGAAAGGAAGCCCCAACGGGGCAGAGAUCCCAGGCAGUGACGGGACAGGGAGCCAGGUCUGCGUCUCGAUGUCUCGGUUCAACUCCACGCGGCUUCGUGUUGCGCAAGCGGAGUGGAGGGCGUGCAGAUGUCUGGGGCGUCGUCGGGAGAAUCCAGGCCGUUAACGGGACACCUGGUAAAGUUAAAACGCCGUUGUCAUUCGAAUUAUCAACGACUACUUCAGGCUUUGCGUUCGUAUCGGAUUGGGGGGGGGGGGGGUCCUGACGUUUUAUCUUCCAGAAUCCCUCGCGUCUCCUGCGUCCUCGCGAUGCCGGCAAAGAAGAGAUCAUCGGUGAAUUCAGGCAGUCGCAAGAUCCCCAAGUCCCAUUUACACAGACGUCUCUCUCGGUUCCAACUCCACGCAAACCCUCUCGUGCGUCCCGUAAAGGUGUCUGGGCUUCGUCGCGGAGAAUUCGGGCCGGUUUCCGUGGCACCUGGUAAACACCAAAUCUUCUCUGCCCAAAUCUAAUGCUUUUUUAAAUCCUUUAUAUUAAGUUAACUUGCUUGCGCGCUUACGACCGUGCAAAUAUUUCGGUCGUUUUUUAACCCACUUCCCGUGAUCCAAUCGAGCUGACAUUUUGCACACAGACUCGUUGUGCGUGACAAUUAAUGUUCGUGAAAAAAAUUUCCGUAAUUUUACACUUUUUAGGGAAAAAUAUUUUUAUUAUUUAAUUACCAAUUGCUUAAUGGUGGCAGGCAAUCAUCUGACCCAUAGGUGGCAGCCAUCUCAAGCCAGAGGACGAGAGGACUCUAGCCGCCACGCAUAUAAAGGAUUUAUAGUGAAAAACUUUGUUUUUACGGGUUAAUUUUUCACACGUGAGUUUUUGUUAUUUUAUUUGUGUUCGUAUGUCGGGAGUUGACGGGGCGGGGAAGGGGGGGGUGGGUGUUGUGUUAACGCCGUGUCUUGCAGACUCGCGUCUCCUGCGUGCUCACAGCAAGAACUGCAACGGGGUGGGGGGGGGAAGAGCGAGAGAGUUGACAGAGUUGAUGGGCGAAUCCAGGCGGUUACAGGAGCCCAGGUCUCUUUUCACGCACGCAAACCCUCUCGUGUCUCCAUCGUUGCCUUGUGGAUGAUUGUAGUGGUGGAGGUGAUUGUGGUGGUGGUGAUAACCAGGGGGUGGUGAGUGGCUUGCCUCUGUAGGAGGCCGUGGCAUCGUUUAACAAGUAGCAGUAGCAGCAGCAGGGGGCUUUUUGCGACUAAUCUACAUAAGAUGUUGUUUUUGUGCUAGAACUAGUGACGAAUUGGCACGUUUUGUUCACGCGACAAACCUUACCCAAUUGGCCGUGUCGGGUGGUGGCGGGUUUCAACGACACAUUUAAUAUAUUCACGCGAUCCAACACAAAAACAACAACAACUCUGUUACGCUUUUACAAACGCUGCGUUGCCACAGAAUUAGCGUUCUCACGUCGUGAGUUGGGGCUGGGUAGGAGGAAGGGGGGUGGGGAGGGUUGCUGUGUCCACGCCGUGUCUUGCAGACUCCCUCGCGUCUCCUGCGUGCUCGCGACGGCAGCAGCAGCAGCAGAGAGAGGGAUCGUCGGUGAACCCAGGCGGUGGCAGGAGCACCACCAAGUUUGAUUCACACGGACGUCGCUCUCGCUUGGAACUGCGCGCAAACCCUCGUGCGUGUGAGUGUGUGUGUGUCCGUCGUGCGCCGAUGUCUGGGCGUUGUCGUCGGAGAAUCCAGGCCGCUGUCUGGGGCACCUGGUGACUACGGAAUAAAUCCUCUGGCACGAA